AUUGAACGCUGGCGGCAUGCCUUACACAUGCAAGUCGAACGGCAGCACGGGAGCAAUCCUGGUGGCGAGUGGCGAACGGGUGAGUAAUAUAUCGGAACGUGCCCAGUAGUGGGGGAUAGCCCGGCGAAAGCCCGGAUUAAUACCGACAUACGACCUGAGGGUGAAAGCGGGGGAUCGCAAGACCUCGCGCUAUUGGAGCGGCCGAUAUCAGAUUAGCUAGUUGGUGGGUAAAGGCCUACCAAGGCUACGAUCUGUAGUUGGUCUGAGAGGACGACCAGCCACACUGGGACUGAGACACGGCCCAGACUCCUACGGGAGGCAGCAGUGGGGAAUUUUGGACAAUGGGCGCAAGCCUGAUCCAGCAAUGCCGCGUGCAGG
rnacentral:rRNA from 1 species